rnacentral:rRNA from 1 species
CCUGGCGGCACUAGCGCGGUGGUCCCACCUGACCCCAUGCCGAACUCAGAAGUGAAACGCCGUAGCGCCGAUGGUAGUGUGGGGUCUCCCCAUGCGGGAGUAGGGAACUGCCAGGC